CCAUGCAAAAUAACAAAACAUGUUCAAUAAAGAUAUUCUUCAAAACAAUAUUACACACCAACUGAACAUGUAGCACUGGAACAUAUGUACUGUUAUUAAGCAGUGUGUUGUCAUCAUCAAAAACUAGUUUGAUAUGGAGUUUGUGUCGUCAAAAAUCUCAACAUUCAUGACUUUAAAAGCUAACAUCUCCUCCCUUAAACUUGCAUUGCAUAAAUAAACAUGUUGCCC
rnacentral:lncRNA from 1 species